ACGCUUCUGCAAGGUGACCUGAUUUGACCUAUAGGAGUGAUUAAUUGCUGAAACAUAUUGAGAUCAUGCAGAUGUAGGGCUGCCUGGAAAUUCCUUCCCUUUUUUUCUGGAUCAGGGUUAUAAAAGACGAUGCUACAAACACAGGAGCAGCGAGCCAAACUAUUCUUACACAGGACGAAGCUCAUGUAGAGGAUUUCCAUCCUGUUCCUUUGGACUGAACCCCCACCCCAAUUCUCUGCCUUCCUGUGCAAGCUCUCAGGAGCACCAACUCCUCAUCUCUAUGGUAACCCCCCCAGCUCAUUACUCGGAAACCUCGCCUCUUAAAGGAGCCGCAUCAAGGCUGAAACAACCGCGAGACAACGUGCAGACAAGCACCCUCAGAAACACCCUUUCAGCAAAGGGUGGAAAUUUAACAACCAGUCCGCCCAGGGUCAGUUCCAUGUCAAGGAAUUUUUUUUAUUACUGCAGAAUAUACUGGAAAAGCAUCCUCUGUGAUGCAAAGCGAUUCUUCUGGAUCUCGCUAGUAAACAUUCUGCUCCCAUGGGUAGAGGCCACUCCCAGCUGAAGAACCAAAGUGUAGAUAUUAUAAUAUCACAGGCAUACAUGCUCGGAUUCCCUUCAUUUUGCUGGUCUUCUCCAACUGUUCACUGUGCAGCUGAAUACCUUCUGUCUGAUGGUUCUCCCAAGAACAAUUCAGCAAAAAGGAAUGCAAAGCCACCUUAAUUUUGAAAUCAACAUUUUCCUCUGAUAAGGAGCUAUCAUACAUUUCUUCUCUGAAGACUUAAGAAUGGAAUCAGGUCUGUCCAAGAAAUUUCAUUCUAUCAAGCAGAGCAAUAUUUGUGCAAGGAAGAGAAAGCCCACUACAUACAUAUUGGACCUCAGUUCCAUUAAGAACUUUCACAUGUCUGAAGUCCAAAUCUAUUUUAACAUAAAUAAAGCAGAUUUAUACAUACAUACAUACACACACAUGCAUACAUACUUGCAUACAUACAUUAUGGUUAUGUUUGGAAUACAUUUAUAUAUACAUAUCUAUAUCCUAUAAAUAUGUAGAUAUAAGCAAUUUUUAAAUAUAAAAGACGUUUAUAUUAAAGAUUUUUAAUACAAAGCAUACGUGUACAAAGUAGCUUAGAAAUUCAAAUUAAAGAAGAUUUCAUUUUUGGAGUAUUCUGCUGAGUAAUAGAAGAAAAAAAUUCAUUUGGAGUAAGACACAGAAGGAAAUCCAUAGCAAUGUUAUAAACAAAGAUAUUAAUAAUUCAGCUGAUGUGGAGCACUGUAGCUGAAGAAAAUGAAAAUGUUCUUCUCAAUCUCUGCAGUUCAGUGUGUCAUGGUUGGGAGAUGCUCAAUCCUCUCGUAAAAAAAAAGAGCCAUUACCAAUUCAGGUGCACUUUUAGUUCUGAUACGAUUUGAAAGUUUGACAUUUCUGUAAUAUCUGUUUUUUAAUUGAGAAAUAAACAAUGGAGAAAUCUAGUCUUUCUUUGAAAACAUUUUGCUUUGCAUUUUAUGUCUCUAACAUGAACUGAGAACAGAAUUCACUUCCUGGAAUUAGUAGCAUUCUGAGCCUGGCAUUUUGUCAUAGGAAAGACUCUUGGCUGCAUCUAUAGUUGGGAAGAUCUACAGUUUAAAUUUCAUUUGUACAAGUUGUUAAGACCAGAUUUGUAACUAUAAUUCAUUCAUUAUGCUUUCAUUUUAGCCCUUGCCCAUUUUAUCACAUAACGUGAUGGUUGAUAAUCAUUGUUCCUAAAGUGUAGGAAUGAAUAGGAUGGAGGUCUCUGUGAUUUGGUGGAAUUUUAUCACAUGGACAGAUUCUCAUGAUCACUAUUAGCUAGAUCCCAUCCUUUCUUAGGAUCUUGUCAAAGAGUUCA